GCUGGCCUUGCUGAUCGUCUGAGGUUAAAGCCUGGUGCAGUACCAACUCUUUGUGGCUCAGCUACAAACCUCGGACAGGCCAGCACAUCAACUGCUUCCAUUAAGCUGCCUUUCUCAAGGGAUGUUGCCUGCCAGACAGACCACCUGGAAACACGUACUAUAGGCACACAGCUAGCCUUGAAGACUCUGCGGCCCCACUUUAGAAGUGAAGUACUUGCCAUCUUCAGUACAUUUACUUUUCAUGUACUCAAGAAGAUUCAUCCACUUCCACCCACAACAGCAAAAUAUACAUGGUGUACGAGAACUGCAUUAUGGAGUUGUUUAAUGCAUGUCCAGUCUGCACGCGGGCAUGUGAUGUGAAGACCCAAAAGCUGGGGACAUUCCUGUCUCUGAAGCAGUGGUGCCCCCAUUGCACAUUUACAAGACACUGGAAUAGCC